GGGCCCGCACAAGCGGUGGAGCAUGUGGUUCAAUUCGAAGCAACGCGCAGAACCUUACCAACCCUUGACAUGUCCAGUAUGGGUUUCAGAGAUGAGACCCUUCAGUUCGGCUGGCUGGAACACAGGUGCUGCAUGGCUGUCGUCAGCUCGUGUCGUGAGAUGUUGGGUUAAGUCCCGCAACGAGCGCAACCCUCGCCCUUAGUUGCCAUCAUUCAGUUGGGCACUCUAGGGGGACUGCCGGUGAUAAGCCGCGAGGAAGGUGGGGAUGACGUCAAGUCCUCAUGGCCCUUACGGGUUGGGCUACACACGUGCUACAAUGGCGGUGACAAUGGGAUGCAAGGGCGCGAGCCUUAGCUAAUCUCAAAAAGCCGUCUCAGUUCGGACUGGGGUCUGCAACUCGACCCCACGAAGUCGGAAUCGCUAGUAAUCGUGGAUCAGCAUGCCACGGUGAAUACGUUCCCGGGCCUUGUACACACCGCCCGUCACACCAUGGGAGUUGGCUUUACCUGAAGGCGUUGCGCUAACCCGCAAGGGAGGCAGACGACCACGGUAGGGUCAGCGACUGGGGUGAAGUCGUAACAAGGUAGCCGUAGGGGAACCUGCGGCU
rnacentral:rRNA from 1 species